GAAGUCAUGAACUGAUAGGGAAUUCCUUGAUUAAGCAAUACUACCUAGAGAUAGGGGUAGGACAAUCAAUUGUAUUUUGCUUCUGUACGUGAAUGCAUUAUUAAUUAAUCAGGGAGACUAGAGAUAGUAAACUAGUAAUUAAUAGUAGGCUCUUUUCGCCAAGGAAUUGGGUUUAGGGUAGGCCAAGAAAGUUUGCAUGACAAUUAGAUAAUAAAGCGAAUUAAAUAAGAAAAGUAGAUAUAAGAGGGUGGAUAAGAUGAAAUUGUAAACCCCAACAACCCCAUUCAUCCAUAUCUUUACUUUGCCAAUUGAUUCACUUGAAUUUGCAU
rnacentral:lncRNA from 1 species